AACGCGAAGAACCUUACCAGGUCUUGACAUCCCUCUGACCGGUCUAGAGAUAGACCUUCCCUUCGGGGCAGAGGAGACAGGUGGUGCAUGGUUGUCGUCAGCUCGUGUCGUGAGAUGUUGGGUUAAGUCCCGCAACGAGCGCAACCCUUAGGUCUAGUUGCCAGCAUGUAAUGAUGGGCACUCUAGAACGACUGCCGGUGACAAACCGGAGGAAGGUGGGGAUGACGUCAAAUCAUCAUGCCCCUUAUGACCUGGGCUACACACGUACUACAAUGGCCGAUACAACGGGAAGCGAAACCGCGAGGUGGAGCGAAUCCUAUCAAAGUCGGUCUCAGUUCGGAUUGCAGGCUGCAACUCGCCUGCAUGAAGUCGGAAUUGCUAGUAAUCGCGGAUCAGCAUGCCGCGGUGAAUACGUUCCCGGGCCUUGUACACACCGGAGUGC
rnacentral:rRNA from 1 species